AGAACCUGUUCCGUGUCUCCUCCCCCCACCUUGGAUCCUAUUAGUAUUAUAUAAGUAGCAGGUUUACUUCAAUAGGAAACAGAACCUCUUGACUCCUGUGAGCGAAACUGCACGAUGUGGAACCCAAACCAAGGGACACCUUAUGGGCAGCCUGGAUACCCAGCACCAGGUUGUCCUCCUCAACAAGGACCUUAUCCAGGCCAAUGCCCUCCAGGCACUAACCCAUAUCCAGGAUAUCCUGGGCCUACUUACCCACCACCAACAGGUGGAUACCCUGGUGGAUAUGCCCCUCAGCCAGGACAUGGAUCCCAUGGCCAUCACGGUCAACAUGGUCAACAUGGUCAACCUGGCUAUGGUGCACCUGGCUGCCCUCCCCAUCAACAUGGAGAUCAUCAUAAGAAACACAAAAAACAUGGACAUGGACACGGACAUGGGCAUAAGAAGCACGGAGGUGGAUCUUCUAGCAGUUCUGACUCAGACUAAAUGGCUUCAGGAUGGCUAUUAUGAAUCUGACCCAUCAAAUUUUCUAAAUACAGUAUACGUAAAUCACAUGUAUCCUACAACAUGAUAAUAAGAAACGUAGGAGAGAACAAUAAAUUAAUACAACAACGCUCAUCUCAAAAUCAUUUUGUAAUUCCUGUGUAUCCAGAAUAAAUAUGCUCUCUUCUUGUUGUGGUGCUGCUCCACAGAACCUUUUAUCGUGUCUGUAACCCUCAAUAUAUUGACAUACAAGUGGUGUGAUCAUUUGCUGUGUGGUUGAAUAAAGUAAUUCUUUCCAAAA